GACGAACGCUGGCGGCGUGCUUAACACAUGCAAGUCGAACGGAAAGGCCCUGCUUUUGUGGGGUGCUCGAGUGGCGAACGGGCGAGGAACACGUGAGUAACCUGCCCUUGACUUUGGGAUAACUUCAGGAAACUGGGGCUAAUACCGGAUAGGAGCUCCUGCUGCAUGGUGGGGGUUGGAAAGUUUCGGCGGUUAGGGAUGGACUCGCGGCUUAUCAGCUUGUUGGUGGGGUAGUGGCUUACCAAGGCUUUGACGGGUAGCCGGCCUGAGAGGGUGACCGGCCACAUUGGGACUGAGAUACGGCCCAGACUCCUACGGGAGGCAGCAGUGGGGAAUAUUGCACAAUGGGCGGAAGCCUGAUGCAGCAACGCCGCGUGCGGGAUGACGGCCUUCGGGUUGUAAACCGCUUUCGCCUGUGACGAAGCGUGAGUGACGGUAAUGGGUAAAGAAGCACCGGCUAACUACGUG
rnacentral:rRNA from 1 species